rnacentral:rRNA from 1 species
AUACGUAGGGUCCAAGCGUUAUUCGGAUUUACUGGGCGUAAAGCGUGCGUAGGCGGCUAUAUAAGUUAGAUGUUAAAUCUGUGGGCUCAACUCACAGGCUGCAUCUAAUACUGUAUGGCUCGAGAGUGGAAGAGGCAAACGGAAUUCCUAGUGGAGCGAUUAAAUGCGUAGAUAUUAGGAGGAACACCAAUGGCGAAGGCAGUUUGCUGGGCCAUUUCUGACGCUAAGGCACGAAAGCGUGGGGAGCGAUCGGGAUUAGAAACCCCAGUAGUCC